AAAAAUAUUUUCCACCAGAUAAUAUAGCAAACUUUGUAUAAUUUCGAAUUUUGUAAUAAUUAAUUUUUUUAUAGUUUUUUUUUUAAUGUAAGCCAAAAUGAACCCUAAAACCAACAUAACAUAAUGCUACAUUUUCUUUUUAAUUUCUUCAAUCUUUUAUGAUUUAUUUGCACAAAAUAAUUACAUGUUAAUAUACGUAUAUGAGAAUUAGUUUUCAACUUGCGAUAAAUGCGCACAACUGUUAUUAAUAGUCGCAGUCAUGCAUCAGGAUUAAAUAUAGCUCACCCGAAUAUACAUCUCGGAGGAAGAGAGAUUAUUUUGCAUAACUAAAAUACUUAUAUGCGUUUUUCAUAUAUAAAGAUAAUAUCGUGGUCAGCCUUGACAGUUAUCUUCUGCAAUUAUCUCUAUUCAUUAUUGCAAUGAUAAAUGUACAUAUACAUGCAUAAAGUCAUUCUUUUUUCUUUCCUUAAUGAAUUUAAUAAUAUUACCAACGCUUUUCACGUAAGAUUUAUGAGCAACAAUAUGCAAACAGUAACCUGUUGAUAAAUUCUUGUAAAAUAUUAACUUGCUAUUGCAAAUUCACAAAUACUCAUGCGUACUGUUAACAUAGAAACUUAGGGUUAUGAUGUUUUAUUAUAACAAAAGCUGAAGUCUCAAAUUUGAUUCUUAUUUUAUGCAAUUGUUAUAAUUACACACCAUAUGCAUUUGCUCCGUAUAUGCUUUUCUCACAUUUAAAACAAAACUUUAUUGCGGCUCUUUAUUCCGUAAUGAAAAUUGUAACAAUAAAUUUUAAAACCAAUAAAUUUUAUAAAUUUGAAAUCUUUACUACAAACAAAUUGGCGCGACACCAAAAAUGUGGGAAACUCUCAAAACUUUAUACUAACCAGUUUCAGCAUUAAAACAUAGAUGGCAUUACUAGUGCGUCCCGAAAAAAAAUUCAAUCUUGAAACUUUUUAAAUGCACUGUGUAAAUUAUCUUCAAAAUAAACAUAAAAGUUUUGGAACAUAUACUAUAUACAAGAUAUACAAAAAAAUAUGGCAUAAUUAAAACGUGCUACAAUUAACUGUGGACCAAUCUUACAAUUUCUGCGUCGAGGCUGACGCAUGAAACGUCAAAAUUACUGAGCGCGCUUUGACUGACGCUAAAGACUCGUAGAACCUCGGCAGCUUCAAGG